AAAGAAUCCCUUGGAAUACGGAUCAGGAUGUGGCUCUCAGCUCCUGCCUGCCUGUUGCCACCGUGCUCCCCUCCAUGAUGAUAAUGGACUAAGCCUCUGAAACUACAGGGUCUCUUAUUGGCCUGGAACUCACCAACUGGGUUGAAUUGUCGGGCCAGCCAGCCCAGGAAUCUUCCCAUCUCUGCCUCUCAGCACUAGGGUUACACAAGCUCCACUAUGCCCAACAUUUUAGCAUGGGUUCUGAGGAUGAAAUUCAAGCCCUCUACCAUGCUUGCAAGAAGGCUAGUUGUCAUCUUUGAGCCCUUUUUCCUAAUUGGCCAAUUGGAUCCAUCAAGAAGUCAUUCCAGCUGAGUGGUGGUGGUGCACACCUUUAAUCCUAGCACUUGGGAUGAAGAGGCAGGCGGAUCUCUGUGAGUUUGAGACCAGCCUGCUCUACAAAGGCAGAAAGUUGGAAUGAUAUUCAUGUGCGAUGCUCUUCUCAGGAGCUCCCUGCAUACUAGGCUAAGGCUAAGGAUGUCUUGAAUUUAUGCAACUCCUGAGUUCCAGAGUGAAGAUAAGAAUUUGAUGUUGCCUCAUCUGCAAUCCAAGGUCAUUUUGGCAGAGAACAAUGAAGACCGUGGUGUCAGCACAACUAGUUGGGCUUCUCAGAUCGCAAGUUUCUAGAGUUUCAGACCUCCAGCACAUGCUGCCUUCUUGUUGUGACCUUUGCUCAGACUUAAUGUUUGUCAAAGGAGGAGCUUGCCUUCUAACUCUUAAAAUUUCCCUGGCAUCAGAGUCUGUAUUCAUUAUUAUUUACUCAAAAUAAUAAUUUAAUGUGCCAGGCUUGGUUGACUCCCUAUGGAAGGCCUCACCAUAUGAGAGAGUGGAUGGGGGUUGGGAGCAGGG